CGUAGUCUACGAGAGGUUAGUUAGAUACUGGCUCAGGAUGAACGCUGGCGGCGUGCUUAACACAUGCAAGUCGAACGGGAUAUACUUUUAGCUUGCUAAGUUGUAUAUCUAGUGGCGGACGGGUGAGUAACGCGUGGGUAACCUGCCGUAUGCUGGGGGACAACAGUUGGAAACGACUGCUAAUACCGCAUAAGCGCACGAGAUCGCAUGAUCUUGUGUGAAAAACUCCGGUGGCAUACGAUGGACCCGCGUCUGAUUAGCCAGUUGGCAGGGUAACGGCCUACCAAAGCGACGAUCAGUAGCCGGCCUGAGAGGGUGAACGGCCACAUUGGGACUGAGACACGGCCCAGACUCCUACGGGAGGCAGCAGUGGGGAAUAUUGCACAAUGGGGGAAACCCUGAUGCCAGCGACGCCGCGUGAGUGAAGAAGUAUUUCGGUAUGUAAAGCUCUAUCAGCAGGAAAGAAAAUGACGGUACCUGACUAAGAAGCCCCGGCUAACUACGUGCCAGCAGCCGC
rnacentral:rRNA from 1 species